GAUGAACGCUGGCGGCGUGCCUAAUACAUGCAAGUCGAGCGAACAGACGAGGAGCUUGCUCCUCUGACGUUAGCGGCGGACGGGUGAGUAACACGUGGAUAACCUACCUAUAAGACUGGGAUAACUUCGUGAAACCGGAGCUAAUACCGGAUAAUAUAUUGAACCGCAUGGUUCAAUAGUGAAAGACGGUUUUGCUGUCACUUAUAGAUGGAUCCGCUCCGCAUUAGCUAGUUGGUAAGGUAACUGCUUACCAAGGCGACGAUGCGUAGCCGACCUGAGAGGGUGAUAGGCCACACUGAAACUGAGACACGGUCCAGACUCCUACGGGAGGCAGCAGUAGGGAAUCUUCAGCCAUGGGCGAAAGCCUGACGGAGCAACGCAGCGUGAGUGAUGAAGGUCUUCGGAUCGUAAAACUCUGUUAUUAGGGAAGAACAAAUGUGUAAGUAACUAUGCACGUCUUGACGGUACCUAAUCAGAAAGCCACGGCUAACUACGUG
rnacentral:rRNA from 1 species